rnacentral:rRNA from 1 species
CACGUAGGGUGCGAGCGUUGUCCGGAAUUAUUGGGCGUAAAGAGCUCGUAGGCGGCUUGUUGCGUCGACUGUGAAAACCCGCGGCUUAACUGCGGGCUUGCAGUUGAUACGGGCAGGCUAGAGUUCGGUAGGGGAGACUGGAAUUCCUGGUGUAGCGGUGAAAUGCGCAGAUAUCAGGAGGAACACCGGUGGCGAAGGCGGGUCUCUGGGCCGAUACUGACGCUGAGGAGCGAAAGCGUGGGGAGCGAACAGG